CCCUUAGAUGUUCUGGGCAGCACGCGCGCUACAAUGGUCUUCGCAAACGGAUGCAUUCUCGAAGGAGAAUGCCAAUCUUGGAAUCUAUGCCUUGGUCGGGACAGUUGCUUGCAAUUUUUCGACUCGAACCAGGGAUUCCUUGUAAUCGUGAUUCAUCACAUCACGAUGAAUACGUCCCUGCCCUUUGUACACACCGCCCGUCGCUCCCACCGAUCGAAGAGUUAGGUGAAUUGUUUUGAUCGAUAAGAUUUGACUAUGGUCAACUCUCGUUGUGAAAUUCUGUGAAUCUGACUGUUUAGAGGAAGGAAAAGUCGUAACA
rnacentral:rRNA from 1 species